GGAGAGGUAUCCAAGUGGUUGACGGAGCCGCUCUCGAAAAGCGGUAGGCCCGCAAGGGUCUCGUGGGUUCGAAUCCCACCCUCUCCGCCA
rnacentral:tRNA from 8 species